rnacentral:rRNA from 1 species
UACGUAGGGUGCGAGCGUUGUCCGGAAUUAUUGGGCGUAAAGAGCUCGUAGGCGGCCUGUCGCGUCGGAUGUGAAAGCCCGGGGCUUAACCCCGGGUCUGCAUUCGAUACGGGCAGACUAGAGUGUGGUAGGGGAGACUGGAAUUCCUGGCGUAGCGGUGGAAUGCGCAGAUAUCAGGAGGAACACCGAUGGCGAAGGCAGGUCUCUGGGCCAUUACUGACGCUGAGAAGCGAAAGCAUGGGGAGCGAACAGG